UACGUAGGGUGCAAGCGUUGUCCGGAAUUAUUGGGCGUAAAGAGCUCGUAGGCGGCUUGUCACGUCGACUGUGAAAACCCGGGGCUCAACUCCGGGCCUGCAGUCGAUACGGGCUGGCUUGAGUGCGGUAGGGGAGACUGGAAUUCCUGGUGUAGCGGUGAAAUGCGCAGAUAUCAGGAGGAACACCGGUGGCGAAGGCGGGUCUCUGGGCCGUAACUGACGCUGAGGCGCGAAAGCUAGGGGAGCAAACAGG
rnacentral:rRNA from 1 species